rnacentral:rRNA from 1 species
UACGUAGGCAGCGAGCGUUGUUCGGAUUUACUGGGCGUAAAGCGUGCGUAGGCGGUGCCAUAAGUCUGUUGUGAAAUCUCCCGGCUUAACUGGGAGGGUGCGGUGGAAACUGUGGUGCUGGAGUGUGGGAGAGGUAGGCGGAAUUCCUGGUGUAGCGGUGAAGUGCGUAGAUAUCAGGAGGAACACCUGUGGUGUAGACGGCUUACUGGACCAUGACUGACGCUGAGGCACGAAAGCGUGGGGAGCAAACAGG